AUUGAACGCUGGCGGCAGGCUUAACACAUGCAAGUCGAACGAGUGGCGGACGGGUGAGUAAUGCUUGGGAAUCUAGCUUAUGGAGGGGGAUAACUACGGGAAACUGUAGCUAAUACCGCGUACCAUAGGAUGAGCCCAAGUGGGAUUAGGUAGUGGGUGGGGUAACGGCUCACCAAGUCGACGAUCCCUAGCUGGUCUGAGGGGAUGACCAGCCAAACUGGGACUGAGACACGGCCCAGACUCCUACGGGAGGCAGAAGUGGGGAAUAUUGCGCAAUGGGGGCAACCUGACGCAGCCAUGCCGCGUGAAUGAAGAAGGCCUUCGGGUUGUAAAGUUCUUUCGGUAGCGAGGCGUUAACUACAGAAGAAGCACCGGCUAACUCCGUGCCAGCAGCCGCGGUAAUAC
rnacentral:rRNA from 1 species